rnacentral:lncRNA from 1 species
UACACUGUUACUGUCUUCAGACAAACGAGAAGAGGGCAUCAGAUCCCAUUACCCAUUACAGAUGGUUGUGAGCCACCAUGUGGUUGCUGGGAAUUGAAUUCAUAACCUCUGAAAGAGCAGUCAGUGCUCUUAACCACUGAGCCUUCUGACCCUUUCCACCCUAAUCCCUUCUAACUCUCCAACACUAGGUAGGAGAGAAAGGUUGGAGGGGAAAGAGGGUGGAGACAUCUUUGGACUACUUCCUACUGAUUAGGGGCAUUGAGCUCCUUGGGACAAGAUAUCCAAUUUAGUUUUCUUGACUCUUUGCUUAGGACCACUUAAUAAACUGCACCAGGAGGACCAGGAACAGGACCCUCCCCGGAGUCAACCCUCAGAUGUGGGACCCUGUAGUUUAUACCCUCUGAAAAGUUCCCAGAAUUCCAAAUGUCACACAUUCAAAGAAACUAACUGCAGUUGGCAAAACCCCAUCCCUGCUAGAGCAAUCCUGGGCAAAUCCUAGUAACCUGCUGUGAAGCAGUUUCUAAUCCCACACCUAGGAUUAAAGCAAAAACAUCGCUACAGAACAACUGGCUUUUUAAAGAAACCAAAAUUCUCACUACACAAGGACAGGAAAGUAAGACAGACCAGUUGUGAGCAGGAAGAGAUCAGCCAGUGUGAGGGAUGAGAAGGCAAGGGGGUGACAGGACCUAAACACUGUGUCCCUGCACAAAAAUGCCAAAAUGCCAUUCUGUGUAAUGUGUGUUAACAAAAUGUUUAUUAGAGAGGCUGGGUAGAUAGUGCAAGUUCAGCCUGCAGAACUCACAUGUGAACUUUGCAGCAGAGAGUGGAGACAAGUAGAACUCUGGGGUUUAUUUGGGCAGCCAUCCUAGGCUACUGAGAGUUCCACGUCCCAGAAAGAGAGUCAGUCUCAAAGAACAAAGUAGGUGGUGGGACACACCUUAAUUCACUGCACUAGGAAGGCAGGAGGGCUUGUACUUGAUGUGUAGCUGAGAGUGGCCUUGAACUCCCAAUCUUCCAGUCCCAUUGUCUUCAGUGCUGGGAUUACAGGUAUACCACCAUGCCAGGCUUAUCAGCCCCCUUUCAACUCCAUGUUUGCUAUUCUACCUGCCUAAUGCUUGGGGAAUCUCAGAACCAGCACGUGCUAAAGAAGAGUUCAUGUUUUUCUCUCUAUCUUAGCCAGCAACUCUUCCUGGACUCCUGUUUGUUUUUUUUAUUAUUGUCAUGGUUUUUGUGUGUAUUUUUUGAGGCAGGGUCUCACACUGUAGCACUGGGUGUCCUGAAACUUGCUCUGUGGCUGGGCCUGAAACUCAAGAGGUCCAACUGCUUUUCCUCCCAAGUGUGCCACUAUCCCUGGCCUUCCUGUUUGCUUUAAAGACAUAGUCUUAUCCUUUUUCUGGGGCUGGCCUGGAACUGGAACUAUGUAACCAAGGCUGGCCUCAAGCUUAUGGCAAUCCUCCUGCCUCAGCCUCUCAGUGCUGGGAUUAUAAGUGUGAGUUACCAUAUUCAGCUCUGUAUUUCUUUUAUGUUACUGGUACUGUUGCUCAUUCCUUUGACAGGGUGGGAAGGUGGGAAGUCAAGUUUUAUUUCACAUGGCUGGUCAGCUACAAAGUCCUGUGGCCUCUCCGUGAUGCUAUUCUUGUCUGUCCUUUCCUCUCUGUCCAGAGGCUAGUAUCGAUUACUUUUGCUUAUAUUUUGUAAUAUGAUAAUUUACCAUUCUUGUUCAUUACUGCUAUGCAAUGUUUUCUUUCUCCUGUUGGCAUAUUUUUUGUCUAUUUUACUGGGUUUUUAUAUCUCUACCUCCCCUUCCAACCCCCCCCCCCCCAACACUAGGUAGGAGAGAAAGAAGGGGAAAGGGAAUAUAGACCUCUAAAGGCUACUUCCUGCUCACUGGGGGCAUCGGGGUCCUUGGGGCAAGUCUAAUCUUUGUCGUCAGGGUAUCUCUAACUUCUUGUCUCUUUGCUUAUGGCCAUUUGACAAACUGCAACAAAAGCAACCAGGAGCAGCAGCCUUCUUCUUUGGAGUGCCCCUGUUCCCCUCUGGGCUCUGGCAUUUAUUUAUCUCCUCUCCAGAGUCUCCAGAAAUCCAAACAUAAACUAUCCGCAGCUGGCAAGACCACAGCCCUGCUAGUGCACAAGAUGGGACUUGAUCCAAACUCGAUCCUUGCGCCUCUACCUCACUAGUGUUGGAAUUAAACACACUCACCUAUGCUUGAAGCAAAACCAGAGAUUUUAAACAAAAGUCCUAUCUACGAUAGGCCAAAGAGAUAAAAUAUGGCUGGAGGGGAGAAGAAAAUGCUUAAAGUAUGGAAGCAAGGGAGAUGAUGAUGCGUGAAAACUCGAGCUUUCCCUUCUUGUCCUUGUCAAUUCUUUAAAUUGGAUGAGAAAAAUGUGCUAGAAUGCACAGGGCCGGUUGAUCUUCAACGAGGAAGGCCUGCCGUAGCAAGAACCCAUCAAGCCUGUCGCUCUGUCCCCCACAGGCCAGCCCGCGGUCGCCCCGCACGGGCUUCUGGCUAACUCCCCUCCCGCAGUCUAGGCCGACCUCGCCUCCAGCCGCUCCAGGGGCCGUUCUCCGUCGCAGUCGCAGUUCCCGCCUCGCCACAGGGCCGCCCGCUGUGCC